UACGUAGGGUCCGAGCGUUGUCCGGAAUUACUGGGCGUAAAGAGCUCGUAGGUGGUUUGUCGCGUUGUUCGUGAAAACUCACAGCUCAACUGUGGGCGUGCGGGCGAUACGGGCAAACUAGAGUACUGCAGGGGGAGACUGGAAUUCCUGGUGUAGCGGUGGAAUGCGCAGAUAUCAGGAGGAACACCGGUGGCGAAGGCGGGGUCUCUGGGCAGUAACUGACGCUGGAGGAGCGAAAAGCGUGGGGGAGCGAACAGG
rnacentral:rRNA from 1 species